GACGAACGCUGGCGGCGUGCCUAAUACAUGCAAGUAGAACGCUGAAGGAGGAGCUUGCUUCUCUGGAUGAGUUGCGAACGGGUGAGUAACGCGUAGGUAACCUGCCUGGUAGCGGGGGAUAACUAUUGGAAACGAUAGCUAAUACCGCAUAAGAGUAGAUGUUGCAUGACAUUUGCUUAAAAGGUGCAAUUGCAUCACUACCAGAUGGACCUGCGUUGUAUUAGCUAGUUGGUGAGGUAACGGCUCACCAAGGCGACGAUACAUAGCCGACCUGAGAGGGUGAUCGGCCACACUGGGACUGAGACACGGCCCAGACUCCUACGGGAGGCAGCAGUAGGGAAUCUUUGGCAAUGGACGGAAGUCUGACCGAGCAACGCCGCGUGAGUGAAGAAGGUUUUCGGAUCGUAAAGCUCUGUUGUAAGAGAAGAACGAGUGUGAGAGUGGAAAGUUCACAACUGUGACGUAUCUACCAGAAAGGACG
rnacentral:rRNA from 1 species